CCUACGGGGGGCAGCAGUAGGGAAUAUUGCUCAAUGGGGGAAACCCUGAAGCAGCAACGCCGCGUGGAGGAUGAAGGUUUUCGGAUUGUAAACUCCUUUUGUUAGAGAAGAUAAUGACGGUAUCUAACGAAUAAGCACCGGCUAACUCCGUGCCAGCAGCCGCGGUAAUACGGAGGGUGCAAGCGUUACUCGGAAUCACUGGGCGUAAAGAGCGCGUAGGCGGGAUAGCAAGUCAGAUGUGAAAUCCUAUGGCUUAACCAUAGAACUGCAUUUGAAACUGGUAUUCUAGAGUAUGGGAGAGGUAGGUGGAAUUCUUGGUGUAGGGGUAAAAUGCGUAGAGAUCAAGAGGAAUACUCAUUGCGAAGGCGACCUGCUAGAACAUAACUGACGCUGAGGCGCGAAAGCGUGGGGAGCAAACAGGAUUAGAUACCCUAGUAGUC
rnacentral:rRNA from 1 species